GCCUUUUGCUCUAUUGUUCAUUAAAACCUUUUAUCUCCACCAGAGGGCGCCAUCAUCCAGUAGGCGGAGCUCUCCUUGUGCUCUGUGUUCCAGCAUUGUGUCAAUAAUAAGUGUUGCUGUGAAGAGAACAAUAGUCAGACUGAAUGUUGAACAUCAGCUAGUUUCUCCUGCUGAUUUAAACCUUGUUGGACAGAUGGAACAUUGGCUGUGGAUUAUUCUAGCUGCUCUUUUCUUUGAGUGUAAAGGAGACUCAGUGACGCAGACAGAAGGACAUGUUGCUGCUGCUAAAGGAAAAUCUGUGACGCUGGGAUGUAUUUUUGAAACCAGUGAUCCAUAUCCUUAUCUUUUCUGGUACCAGCAAAAGGAAGGCAGUUCUCCAACCUACAUGUUGAAUCGUUACUCAGGAACUGCAGCGAAUGAUCCAAAGUUCAGCACAGACAGAUUUAAUGCUGAUCUCAACACAGGGACACAAAAGAAAUCAGUAAAUUUGACGAUCCAGGAUCUUCGUCUUUCUGACUCUGCUGUGUACUACUGUGCUCUGAGGCCCACAGUGACAGGAAACACCAGAACUCUGUACAAGAACCUGCAAUACUCCACUACAUCCACUAGAGGUCCUCAAACACUGUUCCUCCUCUAUG